rnacentral:tRNA from 1 species
UAAAAGGUGGCUGAUAAAAGUGUAGAAUUGUAAUUUCUAAAAUGGAUUUUUCCCCUGUCAA